UCACGUAACGGGGUUUUUUUUGGGCGGGAAACGCGAGGCGAGGGAUCAGUUCAUAGUCAUACAGUAAAGCGGCCGCUGAGUCCCGAACAUUUGUUGCCCGGUGAGGGCGGGUGUGCUCCGUCCUAUGACUGCCGUCACACAGAGCACCAAGCAAUAUGAAUACUACAGAAUCUGCACAGUUUGGGGGCAGAACUGCAUCAAUUGAAAUGAAGACCGAUCUCAACCUAUUAUUGGAAUGUCUGAAAUUUCAAAUGGAUAAUCCUGACUCUCAGAAAGAGACUUUGGUGGCUGUUCGCUCCAUCUGCCAGAAUAACAGUGAUUUAUGUAUUGUUACAGGUGAUGCAAGUGACUAUUUCAGAGAAAUUGGUGGCUUAAUAUUCGUCAAUAACCUCGCAAAAUCCAGCGCUCAUACAAUUUUAAAAGAGGCUUCUUUGUAUACUCUAGGAGUUCUCGCAGAGAGCAAUGUAUAUUGCCAGCAAACCUUGUGCACCUUGGAUCUCUUUGAAGAUGUCCAUGCAGUGUUAUCUAAUAAGCAAUUUGCUGUUAAUUUAAAAAGAAUGUCUGUUUUUAUUCUUCUAGUCUUAGUUUCAAAUAACAAGACUGGUCAAACUCUUGCUAGAGAAUCAAGAUGUAUAGACAUACUUCUCAUUUUAUUUAGCAAAAUGUUGACGCGUAACAUGGUUCUGCCCACUGAAAGCACAAAUCAGCAAUAUCAUCUGUGGUCAUCUAUCUGCAGUGCUCUAUGUUCCUGUGUCAAUAACCCACAAAACGAGGAAAACCAGAAACUGUGCAGUUCAGCAUUUCCACAGGCAAAUGAAUGGCUGCAGCACUCUAUCCAACCAGCGAUAACGCGGCCUAUCUGUUCACUGAUUGGCCUGACUACUGCCAAUAACAGCUUUGCACAGGAUUACUUUGCUUCAGUUGGUGGACUUGAUACAUUGGCUGAGGUCCUCCUGCAACUGGUGAAGGGUGUACAGGCAAAACGAUCAAGUAUCAGACUGGCUGUUGCAGUAACAAAGACCUUGGAUGCCUGCAUCGCAGAGAACCUUACAGCUAUACAUCACUUGUCAGAGCACGGCGUUGUAUCAAGUCUGAUAAGCCUGUUGUCCUGUGGACAUUUGGAAGCAGAAGACAUGUUCAGCAUUGUGCUUACUGUUGGCCACUGUACUGAGGACUGCGAGCCAAAUCAAUAUGAGCUACUGAAAUGCAACGGACUCCCCCUCAUGAUUCAGGUGCUGAGUGAAUCAAAGGACGAUGAGUUACACAAAGCAGCAACAUUUGUGCUUCAGAACUGCAGGCACAUCACUGAAACAUUGUCUCUUAAUCUAAAUGAACACACACCAAGUAUAAAACUCACUUCAAACCAAAAUAAAAGGGACAAAUGUAUGGCUGAAUACUGGAAGAAUGCUAAAGUCAUCUAUGACAAAAUUGAGCAUCUACAGAAACAAUAUGAUGAGAAUAUCUCUAACAUUGAGGAACCUGGUAGAACAGAGAACAUCAGUUCUAGGUAUAGGAAAGCAGUGAGCGCACCGGGCCGAGCCAUAGUUCCAUGUUUUCCAAAGAACGUGGCUGAUCAUGAUAUCGCACAGAAAUCACAAAACAAUUGUUCUAAUGCUUCCCAGUGUUUAAACAGAGGAGUAAGUGCAUGCAGAGAGAGUGUUCCAUUGGAAAAAGUAAGAAGACAGAUUUUUCCACACACUGCUACACAGCAAAACUCAUCAGCGUCAGGUCGCACCAGUAAAUCUCCCAGUCACAGUUGCAUUACUAUACAGGAGGCUAGUACAGAUUUACCCUGCAGAGCUCAGAAACUAAACUCAGACUCCUACAGAAAUAAUCUAUCUUUGAGGGAUGCAGUCACUCAGACUGUACCAUAUGAUAUGACGAAGACCUUACCUGCCGACUUGCACCGCUCACAGGGAGAGACAUUAGAAGAAGCCGAGCAGACUACUUCGACGUGUUCUAUAACUACUUUAAGGUUAAACGCCGCUAAACAAUCAACUGCAAACAACGCAGGAAUCAAUAUAGACCCCCUGACUUUAUGUGCUGACAUAAUCGACAAGGAGAUAAGUGGCAUUCUUGGUACUCGAGUCCUUUUGACGGAAUUGCGGUGUUCAGGCUGUUUAGCGACAGAUUUUGUCAUGAAUAGCAGGAACUGCAGCAAGAUCUUGCAGGAAUGUUCACAUUUGUGUGAUCGUCAUAGAAUUAUUCUACAGGCAGAAGAGAGGUAUAAGACGGAAUUCAAGAAAGUGAUGCGUGGCACCGGAUGCUCCAUAGCACAUAAGCAGUUGACACCUAUUAGAAGAGCAGGGGCAGUGCUUCAGAAUGAAUCAAAUUCCAGCCGUAUCCUGCUGACUCCUAUAAGGAAGGUAAUUAAUGAGGACAAGCAUCACAAAAAAGCAGUGUGUUUCUUGCACAAGCCACCUCCACAGUAAGAUUUUCUAACUCACUAGAACAAGUGCUAAAGAAACUUAUGAACAAGUCUCCUUUCAAUGCAGCUGCCGCCACAAUACUUUCAACUGGGAAAGAUCUUCAGAGGUCAUACCAUUUAUAUUCAGAGCUCUGCAGAAACUCUUUCCUCACAGUCAUCUUGUUUCGAGCUGCUCUUCCCUUCUGAGACUUGCACCAAAAAACAGAUUUUCCAGACUCGCACUUCAAAAGUGUUUUCUUUUUAAAGUAAUUAAGGCAAUAGUUUGAUUUUAUGUUACAAUCAUCCUGUGUGUUCAGGGCAACAGAAAGCCCUUUGUAAAAAAAAAAAAAAAGAAGGUUUGCAAGAUAAACAUUUCACACUUGGGGCAAAACUACAAUAUAACAUUUUACUUUCAAUAUUAUGUAAAGUGAACUCUAUGGAGUAAACGGGAUGCAAUUAAAAUAACGGCUUUGGGAUCUCUGCGUUCAAGAGACUGACGCCGGAAUUCCAACAGCUAGUGAAAUACCGACGCCCAGGAAUCCCGCCCACCUCCGGUUAUUUCCACUCGGUUGGUGGGUCCACACCACCAACCGAGUGGGAAUAUAACCUGUGGUGAGCCACCGGGCCCGAAGUAUGGCCAGCACAGUGAACCCACAAGGGGACUCGCCGGAUUCCAACAGACAGGAUGUGGCUGUCUGUAUACUGACAGCCGGCAUCCAUCUGCUGGUAAGACGUAUAUAUUCCGAGCAAACAUAGCCAUCAACGCCAUAGUCCUUUUUGAUGAGGAUCUUAAAAUAGCCCAGUAAUCUAAAUUGUUCCUGCAAUUCAUGGUAUUGUGAACCUAAAUACUCCCAACAUUUCCACUACAUUGUACAAAUAGGAAACGCAUGAAUCCACAACAUAAACUUAAAUAUGAUAUUUUAUUUGUGGAAAAACAUUGUGAAGUUCAUGCGUUAAGACAUUUUUAACAUCGGGUUAAGCGCACAACAAUUUAUCAUGGGCCUUGGUCACUUGUCUAAUAAUUGGCAUUUUAAUCAUCAAUAGUAAAUACUUUUGUCCAAUGAGAAGAUAGAAAACAUUGAUAUAAAUAAGACUCCUAUACUUAGGAGCUUAACAUUAAUAAAUUAAGCUAUAUUAAUUUGGUAGAAUCGAAGGGUUCAAGUCAACAGUAAAAAAUUUGGCCAGAGUGUUUUUGAAUUUUACUUCACAACUGUAAAUUAGUCUUUUUUUUUCUUAUGAAGGAUUUGGU